rnacentral:tRNA from 1 species
GGGUACUUACCAGAGUGGCCAAAUGGGACAGACUGUAAAUCUGUUGGCUCUGCCUUCGGUGGUUCGAAUCCAUCAGUACCCACCA